UGGCUCAGAUUGAACGCUGGCGGCAGGCCUAACACAUGCAAGUCGAGCGGAAACGAGUUAUCUGAACCUUCGGGGAACGAUAACGGCGUCGAGCGGCGGACGGGUGCCUAAUGCCUAGGACCUCCCCCUGACGUGGGGGAUAACCAUUGGAAACGAUGGCUAAUACCGCAUAAUACCUUCGGGUCAAAGAGGGGGACCUUCGGGCCUCUCGCGUCAGGAUAUGCCUAGGUGGGAUUAGCUAGUUGGUGAGGUAAUGGCUCACCAAGGCGACGAUCCCUAGCUGGUCUGAGAGGAUGAUCAGCCACACUGGAACUGAGACACGGUCCAGACUCCUACGGGAGGCCCCAGUGGGGAAUAUUGCACAAUGGGCGCAAGCCUGAUGCAGCCAUGCCGCGUGUGUGAAGAAGGGCCUUCGGGUUGUAAAGCACUUUCAGUCGUGAGGAAGGUAGUGUAGUUAAUAGCUGCAUUAUUUGACGUUAGCGACAGAAGAAGCACCGGCUAACUCCGUGCCAGCAGCCGCGGUAAUACGGAGGGUGCGAGCGUUAAUCGGAAUUACUGGGCGUAAAGCGCAUGCAGGUGGUUUGUUAAGUCAGAUGUGAAAGCCCGGGGCUCAACCUCGGAAUAGCAUUUGAAACUGGCAGACUAGAGUACUGUAGAGGGGGGUAGAAUUUCAGGUGUAGCGGUGAAAUGCGUAGAGAUCUGAAGGAAUACCGGUGGCGACAGGCGGCCCCCUGGACAGAU
rnacentral:rRNA from 1 species